rnacentral:rRNA from 1 species
GACGAACGCUGGCGGCGUGCUUAACACAUGCAAGUCGAACGGAAAGGCACUGCUUUUGUGGGGUGCUCGAGUGGCGAACGGGUGAGUAACACGUGAGUAACCUGCUCUAGACUUUGGGAUAACUUCAGGAAACUGGGGCUAAUAUCGGAUAGGAGCUCCUGCUGCAUGGUGGGGGUUGGAAAGUUUCGGCGGUUGGGGAUGGACUCGCGGCUGAUCAGCUUGUUGGUGGGGUAGUGGCAUACCCAGGCUUUGACGGGUAGCCGGCCUGAGAGGGUGACCGGGGACAUUGGGACUGAGAUACGGCGCAGACUCCUACGUGGGACAGCAGUGGGGAAUAUUGCACAGUGGGCGGAAGCCUGAUGCGGCGACGCCGCGUUCGGGAUGACGGUCUUCUGGUUGAAAACCGCUUUCGCCUGUUACGAAGCGUGAGUGACGGUAACGGGUAAAGAAGCACCGGCUAACUACGUG